rnacentral:rRNA from 1 species
AAGGUGUAUAUCGCCCUUGCUGCGGUUAAAAAGCUCGUAGUUGGAUCCCAAGCCCAGGACCCGGUCCACCCACAGGGUGUGAACUGGGCUCCGGGGCUAAUACUGCUGGUUUUCCCAAUGUGGCCUUAAUUGGUUGCAUUGGGUGGCUGGCGAGUUUACUUUGAAAAAAUUAGAGUGCUCAAAACAGGCGUUUCGCCUGCAUACUGGUGCAUGGAAUAAUGGAAAAGGACUUCGGUUCUAUUUUGUUGGUUUUCUGAACCGAGAUAAUGGUUAAGAGGGACAGACGGGGGCAUUCGUAUCGCUGCGUGAGAGGUGAAAUUCUUGGACCGCAGCGAGACGCCCUACUG